AACGAACGCUGGCGGCAGGCUUAACACAUGCAAGUCGAGCGCCCCGCAAGGGGAGCGGCGCACGGGGGAGUAAAGCGCGGGAACCCACCCAUCUCUACGGAAUAACGCAUGGAAACGUGUGCUAAUACCGUAUACGUCCUUCGGGAGAAAGAUUUAUCGGAGAUGGAUGACCCCGCGUUGGAUUAGCUAGUUGGUGGGGUAAAGGCCUACCAAGGCGACGAUCCAUAGCGGGUCUGAGAGGAGUAUCAGCCACACUGGGACUGAGACACGGCCCAGACUCCUACGGGAGGCAGCAGUGGGGAAUAUUGGACAAUGGGCGCAAGCCUGAUCCAGCCAUGCCGCGUGAGUGGUGAAGGCCCUAGGGUUGUAAAGCUCUUUCACCGGUGAAGAUAAUGACGGUAACCGGAGAAGAAGCCCCGGCUAACUUCGUGCCAGCCGCCGCGGUAACAC
rnacentral:rRNA from 1 species